AAUAGAUACCCUGGUAGUCCACGCCGUAAACGUUGGAUACUAGGUGUGGCGGUUAUACCAAUGACUGCCGUGCCGAAGCUAACGCAUUAAGUAUCCCGCCUGGGGAGUACGGCCGCAAGGCUAAAACUCAAAGGAAUUGACGGGUCCCCGCACAAGCGGCGGAGCAUGCGGCUUAAUUCGAUGCAACCCGAAGAACCUUACCUGGGUUUGACAUCACGGGAAAAGCUGUAGAAAUACAGUGUCCAUUAGGGCCCGUGACAGGUGGUGCAUGGCUGUCGUCAGCUCGUGUCGUGAGAUGUUGGGUUAAGUCCCGCAACGAGCGCAACCCUUGUCCUAUGUUGCCAGCGGUUCGGCCGGGGACUCAUAGGAGACUGCCGGGGAUAACUCGGAGGAAGGUGAGGACGACGUCAAGUCAUCAUGCCCCUUAUAUCCAGGGCUGCACGCAUGCUACAAUGGCCGGUACAACGGGCAGCGACCCCGCGAGGGUGAGCGAAUCCUAAAAAGCCGGUCCUAGUUCGGAUUGAAGUCUGCAACUCGACUU
rnacentral:rRNA from 1 species